GUGUGCUUGGCAUUAUGUAUUGGGGUACAAUCCCCUAUUUCUUUAGUAAUUUUUCUAAUGGUCUUGGCCUUUGUCCUAUCAUACCAUAGUACUUGCCACCUCUAUCAAAUCUAACUACUUUAAUCAUUUUUUUUUAUUGUCUCUGUAUCUCUAUUUUGAAUUUCUUAAAAUCUUUAAAAAAUUUAGUCUUAUCAAAUAGAAGAU
rnacentral:lncRNA from 1 species